rnacentral:lncRNA from 1 species
UUGUCAAACACUUUGGAGGAGCUUAUAAGCUCCUAAACAACUUAUAAGCUGUUUUGAGGAGUUUAUAAGCUCAGCCAAACACCCUCUUAAAUUGUCAAAUCAGAUUCUACUCACCACAAAAUUUGAAAAAACUCUUCAACCAGUUAUUAAAAAACAAUUGUAUCCAUUCAAGUAUACACUUAGAGAUUCCAUAACAUUAUAUAGCAGAUGAAUCCGGGCCAUCCAUGUAUUUGAAAAAAGAAAUAAGAUGAGAUGGGAAUACAAAAAGUGAAUCUUUAUUUUCUCCUACCACGAAAUCUCCCACCAACUUUCUUUGUCCAAUUAGCACUCAAGCUCUUCGGAAACUUAUAAAGUAAUCACGAAAGUGGUGAAAACCCGAUUCCUGAGAGUUCGAGCAAUCACAAGCCAAGUUGAUCUCACCUUCAAAACUUGCAAUGAUGGUCUUGGUGAAGACUUGUUGGUGGCAAAACCAUGAGAGGAGCUCCGAGCUGGUAUAUAGAACAAGGCAAUAAUCAGACGGAAAAUCACUACCAGUAGUUUCAUUGCGAUCACAGCAUAAAGCAAUGAAAAGUGUACCGGGAUCUUUAGGAACAACUGCUAGCAUUGCUUUGAGAUUUGGGCAGGUCAUAUUCUCUUCAUCGUCUAUAGUCUUCAUGUCUUUAGGAGUUGGAUUCUACAGCUACACGGCCUUUUGGUAAUUUCUUUCCCAAACGCACUCCGUCAUAUGCUUGCAUCGUAGUGUCUAUACCUAUAUUAUAAUACGAUCAAUAAGGUCAUCUUUCAUACUGCGGCCAAAGUUCAUCAUGUAUUGGCAUAUGUCACCUAGUGAUCACAUUCACACAUAUAUGUAAACUCCAAUGCUUGUAACAAAAAGACAAGUGCACAAAAAACUCAUAAGGAAUAAAUGAUAACCUAACAUAUCAUACAGGCACUACAUGUACGAAAUAGGUAACUGUGGUAUAGUAGUAGUAGCAGUCUAAAUGAUAUGAACGGAAGAAUGCAGUAAUCACAAAUACUAAUAUACUGUCGAGAAUGCAGAUAAAAGAAGUUUCAACUUUUCAGAUAUUGAGAAAGAAAGGGCAACUAGUAUAUACUAUGCUCACUAAAUGUUUUCAGAGUGAUUAAUAUAAUAAUUCAGUCGUCCACUUUAAUGGUUGUCCUUGCAGUUUUUCGGUAACAAUCAUGGGGCUGGCUAUUCCAUGGAGUUUCACUUUGGCGAUACUCGAUGGAUAUUCCAUCCUGGCUAAGUUCCCCGUACAUCAAUCUGGCAUUUUCAUGGUUAUCAUAACAGGGGACUUGGUAAUUUAUACUCUUUGGUCAAUAUGUAAAGAUAUGAUGAUAAAUCAUGGAGUAACAAAGCUAAUGUUCAUAGGUAUUAUCCUUUCUCACACUAGCAGCAGCGAGCUCAACUGCAAGUCUUGUUGAUCUUCUGCUAAAAGCAGAUGUAUCCUUUUGUCCCCCGAGACUUUGUAGUAGAUAUCAGAUAUCCGCAGCAAUGGCUUUCUUGUCAUGGUUCCUUUUGCUGCUAUCAUCUCUUUCCAAUAUUUGGCUACUUCCAUGGUUGGAUGCUGAUUAAGAAUCUACCAAAGCCAGAAUAAGUUUAAUACUAGUGAAGGCAAUGAUACUGAAUACUGUAAGAAGGUUGUGGCAUGAGUCUUAUGAUUAACAUCUUUACAUGGUUAUUUAUAAGUUCUGAACUAUUUUUUGUUUUGUUUUCUUUACUCUAUUUAUUUAUUUAUUUGUAUUUUGAUUUUCUUUGGCUAGAGGAAAAUUGAUCAAGUGUUACCACUCAACAUUAGAUUUCCAGCAAAGAUAAAGGCCAACACAAAUCAUACCGGAACAUUUGGAUGCAUGUGAAGGCAGCAGCAUGGCAGAGAACAAAGACAUAAUUUAUUGCAAAUCAGCAGAAGGCCUAAAACUGUAGCCAAUUUGAGGUUAACGGCUCAGCUCUUCGCGAGAGUUUCCCAUUGGAACAAGGCAUAUCAAGAUAGGAGCUAUUCAUGAGUACCCAAACUCACAGGACCCUUUUUAUGAUACCUCUGUAACAGAAAGGUUCCCUCCCCAGAAUUCCACAUCUAAACUUGAUAUCAAUAUUCUAUUUUGUACAUGUAUGUGUACAUAGUGAAGAACAACAUGAUGACUUUAAUUCAUGUAACUAUCACCUCUAUGUUUAACUGAGAACAUGUAUUGUCAAGUAGUACUGCAAUGCAACAAUAAAUGGGAUCAACAUGGAUGUAAUAGUGAAGACUUAGGGUAACCUCUGCUUUAAUUGUAUAAAACAACUCAUUCAAUAAAUAAAGCAAUAUAAUAGACGAUGAAGAGAAUAUGACCUGCCCAAAUCUCAAAGCAAUGCUAGCAGUUGUUCCUAAAGAUCCCUGUACGCUUUUCAUUGCUUUAUGCUGUGAUUGCAAUGAAACUACUGGUAGUGAUUUUCCGUCUGAUUAUUGCCUUGUUCUAUAUACCAG